rnacentral:pre_miRNA from 1 species
GAAGUACUCCUUUCGUUUCAUAAUUCUUGUCGAAAUAUUACAUGUAUCUAUACUCAUUUUAGGAAUAUAUACAUCUAUUUUUAGACAAAUUUGAGACAAGAAUUAUGAAACGGAGGUAGUAUAAA